rnacentral:rRNA from 1 species
UACGAAGGGGGCUAGCGUUGCUCGGAAUCACUGGGCGUAAAGCGCACGUAGGCGGACUCUUAAGUCGGUGGUGAAAUCCUGGAGCUCAACUCCAGAACUGCCUUCGAUACUGAGAGUCUCGAGUCCGGGAGAGGUGAGUGGAACUGCGAGUGUAGAGGUGAGAUUCGUAGAUAUUCGCAAGAACACCAGUGGCGAAGGCGGCUUACUGGUCCGGUUCUGACGCUGAGGCGCGAAAGGCGUGGGGAGCAAACAGG